GUCGAUGACUUGCCUGAAAUGCUAUGGGUUGAACUGGGCAGAUGGAGGAGUACGACGCUCAACAAUGGGCUAAGCCCAAUAACACAUUUGGCAGCUCAGAAGCAGUUAUUAAGGAUCUCCUAAUUUCCACUUUCGACUAGUAUUUCGGGCCCAGUCACCCAAGAAGGCUUGUCUUGCUUGAUUGAGGACAUUAGAGACAACAAAAUGGGACGGACUCCGAGCGUUCUCAGGCCAUCACCCCUCUCAGCCGUCCGAUCGGGUUUUUUUUUUUUGCCAUAUCCGGCCGUCCAAACGCGCCUGGGCCUCGCGCUCUCCGUUUGGGCCGCUGCUCCGCCACAAAAAUCUAAGCAAUCUGGUGAUUUGGGCUGGGAUGGCCUAGACGCCCAGUUCGUAGUAGCGCACUAGCGCCCGAGGAAAAAAAAACUGCAUCCAAUUCUUGUUUUCUCGUUCUCCCCAUCCCGAUUCCCUGUUCCCCGAUCUAUUAUCUCGCUGCAUCUCCCCCGAUCGAUCGGUCGCCACCACCGUUGCCUUCCCCCGAACCUCCUGGCUCCUCAGGUCGAGCUCGCCGGCCCUCUGCUGCCCGCCUGCCCCCAAAUCACUCGCUUGUCGGACCUCUGCCACUGCUGGCCGUCCAAAGCUGGCCGCCUUCCCCUGCUCACCUCUCGUCCAGAUUGUGGCCUCCGGACGCCACCCUACGCCAGUCCCGCUGCCCUCCGCCAGCCGGCACCCUCCGUCCUCCAAGGGUGAGGAAUUGAACAGCUGGGCAAAUUCCCUUGCAGGGCAGCAGAUCCUCACCGUCUGGCCUCCUACGAGCUUGCCCUCCAUUCUUAUCCAGCCUCAACCAGCAGUUGCAAUGCCGGGGAAGGUAGAUAUGAGAGACAGAUAGGCACGCGUGCCGUGGCCGCCCCGACCGUGCCAGCAAGGAAGGUGGUUCGAUCCGGCCAUGGCCAUGACGCUCCCCACCUCCGCCCGUCAUCAUGGGAGCCUGAUGACUCCAUGGGUGUCUAUGGAGGUGUGCUGCAGCCUGCAGGUGUGCCCAUCCUCCCAAAAACAGUUUUAUUGAUCUUAUUACUUUAAUCAGAGAAUACUAUAUAUAUUGUAUACUGUAAUAUAUUUGAGUACUUAAAAAAAUUGCGGGAAGAUUACUUCA